GUAUUGUUUUCUGUUCUUCUCAGUACUUUCACUUGAGGUCAAAGCAACUGUUUUGAAUGAAGAACAAAUAUCACCCAUCGCCCUUCUUAGUGGAUCUUUCUUGCGUAAAGACAUCCACUAAUUUCACUGAAAAUAUAUGCGGACAGCCAAAAACUGAGGCAGAGUGGGUUGCAAAUCAGCAGCGAUUUUCUGCAGAAGAAUAUAGAGAGAUUGCAACAACAGCGAAAAGUCCCCUUCACAGGUAUUGCAGGUGGCACUACUGA
rnacentral:lncRNA from 13 species